AUCCGUGCCAGCAGCCGCGGUAAUACGGAGGGGGUUAGCGUUGUUCGGAAUUACUGGGCGUAAAGCGCGCGUAGGCGGAUCAGAAAGUUGGGGGUGAAAUCCCGGGGCUCAACCCCGGAACUGCCUCCAAAACUCCUGGUCUUGAGUUCGAGAGAGGUGAGUGGAAUUGCGAGUGUAGAGGUGAAAUUCGUAGAUAUUCGGAGGAACACCAGUGGCGAAGGCGGCUCACUGGCUCGAUACUGACGCUGAGGUGCGAAAGUGUGGGGAGCAAACAGGAUUAGAUACCCUGGUAGUCCACACCGUAAACGAUGAAUGCCAGUCGUCGGGUAGCAUGCUAUUCGGUGACACACCUAACGGAUUAAGCAUUCCGCCUGGGGAGUACGGUCGCAAGAUUAAAACUCAAAGGAAUUGACGGA
rnacentral:rRNA from 1 species